rnacentral:rRNA from 1 species
UUGCCUCAGUAACGGCGAGUGAAGCGGCAACAGCUCAAAUUUGAAAUCUGGCUCCUUCGGGGUCCGAAUUGUAAUUUGCAGAGGAUGCUUCGGGUUCGGUUCCGGUCUAAGUUCCUUGGAACAGGACGUCACAGAGGGUGAGAAUCCCGUACGUGACCGGCCACCACGCCCGUGUGAAGCUCCUUCGACGAGUCGAGUUGUUUGGGAAUGCAGCUCAAAAUGGGUGGUAAAUUUCAUCUAAAGCUAAAUAUUGGCCAGAGACCGAUAGCGCACAAGUAGAGUGAUCGAAAGAUGAAAAGCACUUUGGAAAGAGAGUCAAACAGUACGUGAAAUUGUUGAAAGGGAAGCGCUUGCAACCAGACUUGCCCGCGGGUGAUCAACCGGUAUUCUUAUCGGUGCACUCACCCGCGGUCAGGCCAGCAUCGGUUCGGGCGGCUGGAUAAAGUCCACUGGAACGUAGCUCCUUCCGGGGAGUGUUAUAGCCAGAGGUGCAAUGCAGCCCGCCCGGACCGAGGACCGCGCUUCGGCUAGGAUGCUGGCGUAAUGGUUGUAAGCGACCCGUCUUGAAACACGGACCAAGGAGUCUAACAUCUAUGCGAGUGUUUGGGUGUCAAACCCAUGCGCGUAAUGAAAGUGAACGGAGGUGGGAACCCUCAAGGGUGCACCAUCGACCGAUCCUGAUGUCUUCGGAUGGAUUUGAGUAAAAGCAUAGCUGUUGGGACCCGAAAGAUGGUGAACUAUGCCUGAAUAGGGUGAAGCCAGAGGAAACUCUG